UUCCUACGGGAGGCAGCAGUGGGGGAUAUUGCACAAUGGGGGAAACCCUGAUGCAGCGACGCCGCGUGAGCGAUGAAGUAUUUCGGUAUGUAAACUGCUUUAGACAGGGAAGAUAAUGACAGUACCUGUAGAAUAAGCUCCGGCUAACUACGUGCCAGCAGCCGCGGUAAUACGUAGGGAGCAAGCGUUAUCCGGAUUUAUUGGGUGUAAAGGGUGCGUAGACGGGAAUGCAAGUUAGUUGUGAAAUCCCUCGGCUUAACUGAGGAACUGCAACUAAAACUACAUUUCUUGAGUGCUGGAGAGGA
rnacentral:rRNA from 1 species